rnacentral:tRNA from 1 species
UCUCAGAUAGUAUAGUGGUCAGUAUUUCGGCUUGUCAUCAGACAGUUCGCCGGAGGCCGGGGUUCGAUUCCCCGUCUGAGAG